UACGGAGGGUGCAAGCGUUAAUCGGAAUUACUGGGCAUAAAGGGUGCGUAGGUGGCUUGUUAAGUCAGGGGUGAAAGUUUUCGGCCCAACCGGAAAAUGGCCUUUGAUACUGGCGAGCUCGAGUGCGUGAGGGGUAACCGGAACGAGCAGUGUAGCGGUGAAAUGCGUAGAUAUUGCUCGGAAGGCCAACGGCGAAGGCAGGUUACUGGUGCGCAACUGACACUGAGGCACGAAAGCGUGGGGAGCAAACAGG
rnacentral:rRNA from 1 species